rnacentral:lncRNA from 1 species
CGUCCUAAAUCCUUUCAUAACAUUACCCCCUUGUUAAGUUUGAAAUCUCCUGAUUUCAUUUUUUGCAAAUUGUUUUGAAUAUAACUUUAAAUUUUGAAUCUUUUUAAUUGUGAUUAAUUUAAUUUUUCCUAUGAAUUGUUUUUGCAAUAAAUGAAACACAAAUACACAUUUAUACACAAAAAUAAACAAUGCAUGCACAAUAAAGAAAAUAAUAUAACAAUCAAAUAGUGCCGAUCUUCUUCCGUGGAACAAAAGUCCACCUGCGAAACAUUGGAGAUCUGUCUUUGGAUGUACUCCAACACGCGAAAAUAAGUCAUAUGAAGAUCUGUGUCUUAUGUACUUCAUAUGCAAGUGAAUAAAAUAACAUAUUCUCUCUCUCAUUCUUUGUUAUUUAAACUAUAGUGAUUCAAAUUUAAUCUGAUUGUUAUAGAGUUUUUAUUGAUCAUGUUUUUACUUAUUUUUGUAUUUAUUCACGAAGAUCGGACUCGAUUGUAUGAAUUCCUCCAGUGUUUUUUUCUUAUAAUUUUUACAUAUUUUUUUAUUUUAUUUUAUUUUUUUUAUUUUAUAGAUUUU